AUAAACGCGAACUGCUACGUACUUAUUGGCUGCUCAGGAAGACGGAAGCGAAAAGUGAGGCUCGAUCCUCCCAGACCAACACCGGAACUGCUGGCUGGGAAAAGUGAGACCGAGAGAGUGAGUGACUUGACUAACAUCACACAACCAAUUAGCAACAGAACCAGAACGACUCCUGACUCUGACUCGGGGAUUCCUUUUUGGAGACGUGAAAGCACUCCUUCAGCUGACUUUCCUGUUGUGAUUCCGUGGACCAUGAACCAAAAAUGCAUGAGCAUGGAGCAUUCAAGCCUUAGAUACCCUCCCUCUAUCCAUGAUCCAGCCAGUGCGGUGCAGCUUCCUCGCUGACCGGGGUCCUGAAAGGCCGACCUCUUGUGGGAACCCAGGUUCCCAGCUCCUCUAUGCCUGUCACAGCCUCAGCCUGCCACCAGAUGGCGCUGCUUAUCUUCAGAAAAUCAGCCUGGGGUGCUGGGUAAAUGAUGGGAAUAAGGGGUAUAUCCCAGAGGGCCUUUGGAGAAACCAGGGCCCAGGGGGCCGCCGAAGCAGAACAGGAGCUAUACAGAGCCUAUCUAGCAACUGCUCCCUCCAUAAUCUGUUCUGUAAUGCCUGCGGCAUCCCCAUCUCUACCAAAGCUCCCCACGUACGCAGCCACACACCUGCAGGCACUCCUAGACUCCCCUGGGCUGCAACACACAUUUCAUGCACACUCACUGACACAUUUCAUAGGUCAAGCACAGGUGCCAGAGACUCAAGGACUCCCGCGCACUGGCACCAAUCCUCACAGCCAGCCUUUCACAUUUAAGUACAUGCGAACACAAAGCUACAAAUAAUCGGGCUCACACUCUCAGCUUGGCCUGGCACAUCACGCCUGAGUCACUGGAAAAAGAGAUUCCUUGGCCUCUUUGGAAGAACAUUUCUGCUCUGCCUGUGCCCGUCUUCCGCUGUGGUACACCUCAAAAAGAAGCAUCCAAAGGGCAAGAAGUCAUGCUUGCAGGGCUGCCCAGUGGCAGAGGGAGGGCAAGAGCAGCUCAGCACCGAGUCCCACAGACUUAGAUAUGUUCCAUCCGUCCUUCCUCCCCACACAUGCCCAUGCACGGGGCUAGAAAAAAAUUGAUAACAUCAAGUCCUCUGCAUUUUGGCAUUCUCCUCCCCUUUCCCUUGUCUCCCCUAGCCCUCCCUUUUCCCUUUUCCACCUCCCCUUCUCUCCCAUCACAUGCUUCUGUGUUCACUGGACCCAGGUGCUCCCAUCACCCACUCCCACCCUGGUGCCAUCACAACUCCUGUGCCGCCUCCUCUCCCCCGCAUCUCUUCCCACUCUGCUGUUGGUUGAACAAGACUACUGCAAGUGUCCAGGAGUAACAGGUCCAAGCUCCGGGGACACCAACCUCAGCCAAAAGGGAAUUUGAAUCAUUCCCUGGGUGCCUUCCUCCUUCCUGGGAGCCCCCUACAGCCCCCUAGAAAGAUGGAACACUGCCCUCAUUGCAAAGGUGGUGUGCAAAGCAAGCACCCCUGCAUGACUGCAUCCAAGUCCACUAAUUCCAUUUCACAGAGUGAAAACCAACGAGGCUGCACCUCAUCCAGUGGUCACAGACACUGCAGUCUACAGAAGUCAGCCCCCUGCCCCUGCCUCCAGCCCACAGAGUCAGUUAAGAAAUGAAACAGCAACCCCCUCUUCAAGCCCUGCCAUAACUCCCAUGUAACCAGGGCCCCAGCCAGAAUAAGGAGCUCCCUGCAAUAUUUAAGACAGACUUCUCUAUUUUUAGUUCUUCAUCUGAAAUUAAAAUGGAAUUGGACAUGCUAUAUUUUAUCUAGCAACCCCACCUCGGAACCACUGCUCAGCCACAGACCACCCCCAGGACUCCCCUUGGUGAUUCCCCUGGUCUCGCUUAAAUCAUCUGCAAAAUAGUCAGGAACAGCUGCCUCCCAGUGGGUCUCGUUAAAGGUUAGACCGGCCAGGCAGUCAAGGCUGCCUUAUCCAAAAGCUCAUCUGGGUGAUAUCAGGUUCAAAGUCCUCUGUUGUCUCUUGAACGCUGUCACUGAUGGUCACAGAUAAGAAAAGUUUCUUUUCCUCUUCAUUGGGAAGUUUGCAGAAGGAGAUAGGUCAUCAGCUGAGUCUAGCUUUGGAGGUCCACAGCCCCGUGUCCUAACACUGCUGCUCCCAUUGCCCGGAUGUGGGACCUUGACCUUCACCUCUCAAGCAUCAGUUUCUCCAGCUGGAGAAAGGGAAUAGUGCCUUCUUCCAGCCUUGCUAUGAGGACCAAGUGUGAUCAUGUCUGUGAAGUGCUCAGCUUGGGGCCUGGUGCACAGGAAGUGCUAGCUAAGUGGUGGCUAUUUCUAUCGUAAUUUUUCUUGGCCUCCGGCUGUCCCUGCUGCCAUCCUGCAGGACCACAUCAGCCCUGGUUGAUUUCUGUUUGCUCCCGGUAUUACUGCCUGCUGGAAGAGCUCAAGCUUUUCUCAUCAAAAUGAGAAAUGAGCUCCUUUCCAGAAAAAUCCUAAGGCACAUUUUCAGAUGCACUGGGAAGCAGUGGAGUAACCAUCCUUAGGGAUCAUCUGUCCCUCUCUGGCCCAGCACAGAAUUCUGAGUGGGUCAGAGAGUGGAUUUACGAGGAUCGGCUCCUAGGCCUCCUCAUGCCUGAAAAGGCUGCCAUCGAUCAAGGAUGAGGGCGGUCAAGGCCAUGUCGCCCUCCCCAAACCAGCCUGUCGACCCUGCCUCCCUGCAGAGAUGAAGCCUGCAUCUGGAAUCCUGCCCAGGGCACACUUACUCCUUUCCCUGGGCUCCUCUGGCUGGAUGGCUAUGUCACAAUCAAAGUGGAGGCCACGGGGAUGGCCAGAGAUUAUGUCCCCGGGCCACCCUCACAAUGGACCUGCCCAGCACACACACGGGCUGGAGCAUGCAAAGGCCCAAACUCUGCCCUCCAUGUGCUCCUGGGACCUGUCAGAUCCCAAAGCCUGGCUGCCCGUCAUCAUCCUUCCUGACUCCUGGGGCUCUGCUCUUCCCAGAGGCGGUGCUCCAGGUAAGAGUUCAAGGUUGGCGAACAGGUACAGGCGAGGUAGGGAGAAAGCAGCCCCAGCCUCUUUUGCCUUAGGUUUCUAGAAUUGUAAAUCCUUUGGAAAAGAAACAACAGUGAAGUCAGCAUUGAGGAGAGACACUGUUGCUCUUUUGACAAUGCCCGUUUGUAGCUAUGAGACUUCUACAGGAUUCAGGACUCUCUGGCCUUCAAGUUAUCACUUGAAGGUACUCUGUGGACUGCUCGGGGAGACCUCAAUGAAGACUCAGGUCAGAUAAAGCUUCCCACCCCAUCAGUUCCUUCACUGGGAGGGGAGGCUAGGAGCAGAAUGACUUUGUUUGAUGAGCGGAAGCUGGUCUGACCCCCAAUUCAGAGAGACCCACCACCACCACCUGGAGUAAUCACCAACUGCCCCACCCCCAAGCUCAGCGGCGACGAACCUGGACCCCAACGAGAUACUGGCAGAUGUGGGCAGGAGCUCAGUUAGACCUGGGAGCCGAAGCCAUCAAGAGAAGUUAAGACCUCCGUCUGAAUGGGGGACCAGAUCGGCGCAAUCCAUCCAUGAUCAUCUGCUUAUCGAUUCCACCUGCUUCUUGAGCAAUGCAGCCAAAUUCUGCUGCAUUAAUAAGCAGCCUCGAUGGCCUUGGCAGGCACCUUCGCCUGUGGGAUUGCUCUGAGGUAGAAGACUGUCAGAAGAAAUGCAAGUCCCCAGUGUUCACUCUCUCCAGAGUGUUGACAUUCCCGCCCCCAGAGGAGCCAACCCAGGAGAGGAAACGGGAGAGAGGAGAAAGCCUCACUCCAAGAAGUGUGGGAAGUCAGCCACUAUUGUCAAAGGUCACGGUGGGUACCGGGAGGGUGGGGGAGCCACUUGCCAGGAGCCCUGUUCUAAAAACUGAUGAAUGAAGUCUUUUUCCAUGAAGGAUUCCUGUGCCUAGCCCUAUAACUGAGUCCCUUGGACUGAGAGGCUGCAGCACCCAGUGGAGACGACAGGUCCUGUCCUCAAGGGCCCACAGUCUAGGAGCUGAGUGACCGAGCCUGGCUGCCCCCUUACAGAGAAGGCAAAGGUCCCAGAAAAUGGGGCAGCCGGGAAUCAGGGGCCCCGCCUCCCAGGCCAAGGCCUUACAUUUCCCUGAAGAUAAGAACAGACUAGAAUCUUGAGGGCUUUUAACAGUUAAACCCAGACAGCUUCACACCACCCCUGAGCGUCUGCAAGUCUGGGUCUUGGGGUCGCUCAUUCUUUGGAGAGUCGCUCUUUCCCACGUGGCUCCUCUCUUGGCCAUUUUUGUUGCUGCAUUCAAGUCAGGCCUCCAGAGAGAACCUCCUGCUGUCUGCUCCAUGAAGCCCAUGGGGUGCUGUGGGGAUAGACCUGGCCUGAGGGGUGAGUGACUACAGGGUGACUCUGGGCGAGUUUCCCCACCCAUUCCUCAUAACUUUACUAGAUCCAUGGUUUUCAAAUUUUGGUAGCGUUAUUUCAGCACAGAAUAUUUUUUUAACCCAGUUAAAUCAUGUCCUGUUCAUUAAGUAGGUAAAGGAACCAUAUUGGAAGUUGCAGGCAAUAGUGUGCCCGAGUCCCUACCAAUUCUGAGGAACCGCCUACAAUUCCAAUAAACUAAGUUUUGGAAAAACACAAGCCACAUGACUUCCAGACCCUUCCAGGUUUGGCCUGCCCAUGAAGCUUCAGAGCCCAGGCUUCAAGGAGGAUGAGAACAGGAAAUGCCAUGUUUAGUGGCCACCUCGAAGCCCUGCCCCGAGUAGAUUCCCCACAACCACUUCAGGUUUCUGGUUCUGACUUAUUUACAACUGCCUGUGCAUCCCUAGCCCCCCUCUUACCUGACCUUCUGCGAACUUUGCUUCUCCAUUGCAGGCUCUGAAGUCAGCAUCCAACCCUCUGUGGCACAAAGCCCACAUAAGAGUCCUAAGUCAGGAACACACCAGGCACCUUUCUGUAGCUGAGGUCAGUAGGCAGCAAACAGGAGACUCUCUUCCUUCAAGCUUUGCUUUACUCUCUCUGACACCCUUGUAGCUUCCAGAAUUGUCUUUUUUUUUUUUAAAUACAGAAUAUAUCCAAUUUCAUGGGGCUGAUAGUCUCACCUGAGAGCCAGGAAAGGCCCAGGGCAGCCUGAGUUGGGGACAAACCCUGUCUUCCCCAUUUCUCUUCCCCUAAAAUGCAGAGCAGAGGGGACAUGGGCAAGAUGGGCUCUCCAUGCCACAGGCCACUAGAGGCCUGGAUUCCAGGUGCUUUUGUUCCAGAGAAUCUCUGAGAAGCAUCACAUCCUUGGCUGCUCUCAGGAGGACCACAAAUUCAGGAGAGCGGAGUAAAGAUGCUGUGGUGCUCGUUCCAGAGAAACGCAGCUACAUGGUGGCUGAGAACAGAGGCUGCUCUGCCUGCCUUCGUGGGUGGGGCUUCAGGGCAAAGAGCAGACACUCGCUCUUGCCAGUAUGGUGAGGGAACAAACAGCGACCCUCAGUAAGCAGACGGACUAAUGCCGGUUUCUAGCCCUGGUCACACAUUUGAAUCACCUGUGGCACUCUUCUGACCAACCAGUGCGAAGACCUUAUUACUUCCACACCAAUUAAACCAGUAUCUUUACAGGUGGGGCUCAGCCAUCUUUAUUUUCCAAAGCUCCCCAGGUGACUAAUUCACAGCCGAGGCAGAGAACCCAUGGCCUAGGAGGGGAGAUUAGCAUCAGACAGGAUUUGGGUGUAAUGGUCUUCACCCUGAGCUGGAGCCUAGUGGCUUGAAAUCCUGGAGGCCAAGUAAGCUGGGCUCUACUGUCACUGGAAUCUGUGGGGCCCCCUCUUACCCACCUACCUUCACACCCACCCACCUGCCACACAGACUCCAGAGCACCUCUUUGGGGAAAAGCAGGACAAAUGGCUCAAGGAUCCAGCCCCAGGGAAGGAGAGUGUGCACUCUGGUUUAGAAUCUUUUCUUCUCCAAGAUUCUUUGAUGUGGCCCACUUUUAACAUCUUUGUUGAAUUUGUUACGACAAUGCUUCUGUUUUGUUUUGGCUUUUUGGUGGAGAGACAUGUGGGAUCUUAACCUCCCCUACCAGGGAUGCCCAGGGAUCGAACCCACACCCCCUGCAUUGGAAGCUCAAAGUCAACCACUGGGCCACCAGGAAAAUCCUCUCUGGUUCAGAAUCUUGACCAUUUCUUUCUAGCUGUGUGGCCCUGACAGCCUUUCUGAGUCUCCAUCCUCAUCUGUCAAACGGGGCAGUAUUGAGUGUGGUUGCAAGGAACAUCCAGCUCAUAGGAAGAGCCCCAGAGAUGGGGCUGUUAGCAGCAGUUAGCCCAAACUCAGUCCGUCACCCCAGACAGGGCCCUAGUGAUCACCUGUCUAGACCCUUGCUUUUUGCACGAACACCUGAAAGUCCAGAGGGGAGAAAUUUUCCCAGGCCAUGCAGCCAGCCAGAUCCUUAAUCUUCCUCCACCCAGGCAGCUUUGCAUCAGAGCGCCCUUCCUUAGCUCCUCUCAUCCAGCAAAACUCCAAAAAUGAUUACUGGGGCUUCUAAAGAAGUAAGUGAGGAUUUUAACACAUCUUUCUAAUGUCUUAAUUGAGAUGCCGGGUUGACCUUUGGGGCAGAGGGUGUACUCUGCUCAUUUGGCCCCUUGACCCUAAUGUGCUGUUUGUCUCCUGUUGCUUUUUGACAUUCUUAGUACUCUGAUGCCAACUGGGUGGACCCCUGGGUAUGUAAGAUGGAUGCCACUGGGGCCUGGGCCUGAGGUUAGGAAAGGCAGAGAGGUCAGGGAAGAGGUAUGGCUGGUUUUCCAUAUAAGCCUCUUUUGUACUCUGAAGCCACUGAACUUGUACUAAUAAAAAUAAAAUUGGUAUUGAAAAAUAAA